UGCUGAGCACAACGCAGCUCCGCCCUCGCAAAGGCACAGCGCGGGCGCAGGCGCCCAGAGGCGCACAGGAGACCUCAGGCCCAGACUCCACUCCCCAGCUGUGAAAGGACUGCUGGCCAGACCCCCAAGCUAGCCCGCCAGGCCUCCAUAGAGCUGCCCAGCAUGGCUGCAUCCAGUACCAAGAGUUGGUGGGAGACGGGUGAGGUAUAGGCUCAGUCUGCGGCCAAGACUCCGUCCUGCAAGGAUAUUGUGGCUGGAGACAUGAGCAAGAAAAGCCUCUGGGAGCAGAAGGGAGGCUCCAAGACCUCAUCAACAAUUAAGAGCCAGCUCAAUCACUUCUCCAGAAAGACUUACUGAGUCCUCUGCACUGAACAGGUGUCCUGUGCUCCAGGAGAGCCCUGGGCUGGCUCCUAGUGUAGCCAUUAUGACCCUGGAAUGCACCAUCUUUCACAUCACUGCCUGGCCUUCUAGAAUCUCAGCUUCUUAAAUCAAGAAAUUGUGUCUUGUUCAUGUCUGAAUUCCCCAAGUGAACACAGUGAGUGGGUGCUUGACAAAUCUUUGUUGGUAAUGAGCAAAAAAGGGGAUUCUGUGCCCAAUACCAUGAAAUCAAUGCACAGAAGAUUCAAUCAAUCAAGAAAGGUGCACAGACGCUGGCCACACACACUGACAUUUGUUUUCAGAUGUUCCAGUCCCCCUGACUUCCACCAACCCAUUCAUUCAUUCCACAAGCAUUUUUGCUGGGGUGGAAGCAGGGCCAUACAGGGUGUGUAAGUAACAGAUAGGGUGGGUUUGUAUAAUGAGUAUAAAAAACUUCUAGCAGAAGAUGACAAAGUAUAUCAAGAAAGGGCUCUCUUCGAAAUCACACCACUGCACUCCAGCCUGGGUAACAGAGGGAGAUUCCAUCUAAAAAAAAAAAAAAAAAAAAAAAAAAAAAAAACAGGGAUGGGGGCAAGGGAGCUCUUUUUUUCCAGUUAGCACAAGAUUGCCAUUUCAGCUAGGGAUUCUGCUGCAACUAUCUCCCAGACCCUAUUCUAGGGCCCGGGGAUAGAAACAGAAUCAAAAACAUAUUCCUUGUCUUUUUUGGGCUUAUAUUAUUGAGGAGAGAGAAAUAAACAAUUUCAAAAUAAACAAUGUCAUACAGUGCUAAGUGCUAUAAAUAAAAUCAAACAGAAUAACGAAAGAGAAAGUAGCUAGACUGGAGGGAAAAGCUGCUUCAGAAUGAGUUGUCAAGGAAGCCUCUUUGCAAUCAGAAAGGUGAGAAGGAUUUAGUCAGGCAAAUAUCAGGAGUAAAUUAUUCUUGGAGGAAAGUAAGCCCAUGCAAAGGCCCUGGGGCAGAGUGGGCUUAUUUGAUAAAGAGGUAAAAGGGUCAGGAUAUCUGUAGCAAUAGUGGCCAAGGGAGGGAGAGGUAUGAGACAGAGGAGGUGAGCCCUGUUGCCAUGGUGAGGGCAUGAGGAUUUAUUCUAAGUUCCAGAUACCUGGAGUUAAAGUCCCCUGAACUGGACAACAACUACAAGCCUUCAUAUCUCAAUGCUACCAUCUUUAAGCCCCUGUUAUAAGAGCUCAGAGGCUUCAGAGAUGACAGGAAACACCAGAACGCUAUGGUGGAGCAUAUCUAGGUGCCUUCUCCCAACUCAGAUCCUUUGACUAUAGAAAGACACAGAUUUCAAGGCUGAGAUCCACAAAACUCUAGCAAAUACUGCACAGACACUGACCAAUGACAGCAGGUGCUGCCUGUCACCCUGGAGCACCAGGCAGGGUUCCAAAGCACCCUUGCUGUGCCAGCCUCUGAUUGCUGGUUAUAGGGAGGUCUGGGGUAGUCCCAAAAGCUGGGAUGUCUAAGGCAGCUGGGGUCAGUCAGGAGGCUCAGGGCAGUGGCAGGAAAAUAUUUUCCUCCCUGGUAGAGCCACAGCGGGGUAUCCAGGCUGAAUAUUAUUGGCGAGAAGGACCAUGGCACCGCACCAAGACCUGCAGGACAAACUUUGUUGGAGCUGAAUCCAGAAAAACAAUCUUCUUCUAAACCACUCUCCUGCCCCUCAUUUAAUUAUUGUGCUUUUGGGUGCACUUGGACUACUCUGAAACAUUCAGAACUCUGUCAAAAAAAAAAAAAAGACCUCUCUCCUCAGCACCUCUCCCACUUGGGCAUCAGUCUUGGCUUCCUCUCUACUUGCUUUCACUUGCUCCUUGUGGCAGAGAUUGCCCUCAGCAGAUCCCUUCCCUUAGGUUCCUUGCUGUCAAGUGGAGGCUAGGGAGCGAGAUUAUGGCCAAUAGAAUGUGGGCGGAACCACAGAUCUGAGCCUGAGGAACAUCCCACAGGACCCUGAGCUCUUCCUCCAGCUGCUGCAGUGGCCUUGGAAGCCAUGUCUGUUCUAGAAGUGUAGCUACAGAUGGAGAAGGCCCAUGUGCUAGCUAGUCUCCAAAGAUGGCGUAUCAGGCCAUUCUUGCGUUGCUAUAAAGAAAUAUCUGAGAUAAGUUAAUUUAUAAAGAAAAGAGUUUGUAUUGGCUCAUUGUUCUGCGGGCUUCACAAGAAGCAUGGUGCUGGCAUCUGCUUGGCUUCUAAGGAGGCCUAGGAAGUUUACAAUCAUGAGCAGGCACAUCAUGUGGCCAAAGCAGGAACAAGGAAGAGAGAGUCGGUGGGUGUGGGGAGGGACAUGCCACACACUUUUAAAUAACCAGAUCUCACAAGAACUCACUAUCUCAAAGACAGCAGCAAGCCAUGAGGGAUCUACCCCCAUGGUCAAAACAACUCCCACCAUGCCCCAACUCCAGCACUGGAGACUGCAAUUUAACUUGAAAUCUGGGUGGAGAUAAAUAUCCAAAUUAUAUCAGAGGGCCUUCCCUCGAACCAAACCUCCUGGUUUCCAGGUCCCCUUUCUUGCUGCUUCUGGGCUGGCCUCCUGGGAAGCCAAGACUGCAGUGGCUCUGAUGCUGCAUGGGGGCUGAGGCUCAGCCAUGAGGAGGCUCGCAGCUGCCACUUUGGUCUUUUGGAAACUUUGCUCAUGAGAGUCUCCCCGUUGGGCCGCAGCCACCAUGCUGAGAAAUGAGGGUCAUGUGGAGAGGCCACAUGGAGGUUUUCUGGUCUAGAGCACAACUGAGCUCCCAGAAAGCAGCCAGCAUCAAUGGCUGGGCAUGUAAGCCAGCUGGCAUGGACAUUCCAGACCAGUCUGUCCUUUUGUCACCUUAGCUACAGGGAAGGCCCAUGACCCCAGAAGUGCCCAUCAUUAUGCUGAAUUCCCGAGCCUCAGUGGUCCACUGAGGUGUGGAAGCAUGUCUCACAAGGGUCAGAUGGAGUUCUGGCCUGGAUUGAUGUGUAGAAGCUGGAGAGAGAAGCUGGGUUUCUUUCAGCUGGGGUGGCUCUGCUGGGAUGUGGUGGGCCUUUUGGGUUUCCAGGUGGUCAUUUUCCUUAUUUGCAGUAGAAGGAACGAGACCCAUAUAGAGAAUAGAGCAAAUUAAAAGGAGAGAAAGAGAAAAAAGUAAGGAGAGAGGGAGAAAGAGAAAAAGAAGGAAAAGAAGAACGGAGGGAAGGAGGAGAGGAAAGAAAAAGAGAAGGAAAAUGAGAA